rnacentral:ncRNA from 1 species
GUGGAACAGGUGUCCGUUUAUCGGACUUAAUAGAGAAAGCAGUAUAAGCUGCUACGGUCCCGCCGCUGUAGAAGGGAGCGACUUCAAAAUUAUGUCACUGGGUUUUUCCUGGGAAGGCUUGAAGGAGCUGUGAACUUGAGUCAGAAGAACUGCCUGUUUGU